rnacentral:lncRNA from 1 species
CAUUUAGGAAAAAAAAAAAAAAAAAGCAUUAUCUGGCAAAGAAUAUGGCAUUUAUGCAAUAUAUGGUAGCUGUAAUCUCAACUGUUUUAUUAUUCAGUUUUUACAGGGAGGGAGACUGCUACCUGCCAUCUGUCAGCCUGCCAGAAAUUCCUAUGUCUAUCAGAGCAAGAGCUAAGGAUGUGACAUCUUUCUCCAUCGUCUUCUCAGAAUAUCCAGGCAUCAAAGAAAUAUGAGGAGAAGCUGCCUGCAGAAUAACUGAAGAAAAUCUAAAAUGAGUAGAAACGUGUUGAAUUCAGCUUGUCUGCUAAAUUAGCAUGAUUUUUUUUUUUUCCCCAGGAUGUCUUGGGGAAAAAAGCUAUCUUACUUUUUUAUGACUGUAAUUAAAGAUUUCUGCAAAGAAGGAAGAAAUUAUCUGAGUGAAAACACUUAUUUUGUCCUCAUUUUCUAAUUGGCUCUGAAAAAUGUUAGCAUAGCUGUCAGAAAGGAAGACAUAGUGUAGGCAAGGCUCUAAUUAGAUAUAAAAUGUAAUCGUAGCAUUGUGCAGUGUGCCCUUUUUUUUUUUUUUAUAAACAGAUAAAUAUGUAGUGAAUAUCUCCCCACGCUUAAUAAGCCAAAAACAGACUCAGAGAACGUGAUGGAAGUGAAGCUUUUAGCACAAGAGAAACCACAUGAAUCAUGGAAUCUGUAAGAAUGGAAAAGUUCUCUAAGAUCACGAAGUCCCACCAUCAGCCUAUCCCCACCAUGCCCACUAACCACAUCUCUCAGUGAGACAUUCAC